rnacentral:rRNA from 1 species
AUUUCGCCGGAGGAUGAGCUCGCGUCUGAUUAGCUUGUUGGUGGGGUAAUGGCCUACCAAGGCGACGAUCAGUAGCUGGUCUGAGAGGAUGAUCAGCCACACUGGGACUGAGACACGGCCCAGACUCCUACGGGAGGCAGCAGUGGGGAAUUUUGGACAAUGGGCGAAAGCCUGAUCCAGCAAUGCCGCGUGUGUGAUGAAGGCCUUAGGGUUGUAAAGCACUUUCACUGGUGAAGAUGAUGACGGUAACCAGAGAAGAAGCCCCGGCUAACUUCGUGCCAGCAGCCGCGGUAAUACGAAGGGGGCGAGCGUUGUUCGGAAUUACUGGGCGUAAAGCGUGCG